UGGCUCAGUGGUAGAGUGCUUGCUUUGCAUGCAUGUGGCCCUGGGUUCGAUUCCUCAG
rnacentral:tRNA from 1 species